AACGUAGGACGCAAGCGUUAUCCGGAGUUACUGGGCGUAAAGCGCGGGCAGGCGGCUCUGUAAGUCUGAUGUGAAAGCGCCCGGCUCAACCGGGCGAGGCCAUUGGAAACUACAAAGCUGGAGGGCAGUAGAGGCAGGCGGAAUUCCGGGUGGAGUGGUGAAAUGCGUAGAUAUUCGGAGGAACACCAGUGGCGAAGGCGGUUCUCUGGAACGCAACUGACGCUGAGACGCGAAAGCGUGGGGAGCAAACAGG
rnacentral:rRNA from 1 species